GACGAACGCUGGCGGCGUGCCUAAUACAUGUAAGUAGAACGCUGAAGGAGGAGCUUGCUCUUCUGAAUGAGUUGCGAACGGGUGAGUAACGCGUAGGUAACCUGCCUGGUAGCGGGGGAUAACUAUUGGAAACGAUAGCUAAUACCGCAUAAGAGUAGAUGUUGCAUGACAUUUGCUUAAAAGGUGCAAUUGCAUCACUACCAGAUGGACCUGCGUUGUAUUAGCUAGUUGGUGGGGUAACGGCUCACCAAGGCGACGAUACAUAGCCGACCUGAGAGGGUGAUCGGCCACACUGGGACUGAGACACGGCCCAGACUCCUACGGGAGGCAGCAGUAGGGAAUCUUCGGCAAUGGACGGAAGUCUGACCGAGCAACGCCGCGUGAGUGAAGAAGGUUUUCGGAUCGUAAAGCUCUGUUGUAAGAGAAGAACGAGUGUGAGAGUGGAAAGUUCACACUGUGAC
rnacentral:rRNA from 1 species